rnacentral:rRNA from 1 species
AUUGAACGCUGGCGGCAUGCCUUACACAUGCAAGUCGAACGGCAGCAUGAUCUAGCUUGCUAGAUUGAUGGCGAGUGGCGAACGGGUGAGUAAUACAUCGGAACGUGCCCUGUAGUGGGGGAUAACUAGUCGAAAGAUUAGCUAAUACCGCAUACGACCUGAGGGUGAAAGUGGGGGACCGCAAGGCCUCAUGCUAUAGGAGCGGCCGAUGUCUGAUUAGCUAGUUGGUGGGGUAAAGGCCCACCAAGGCGACGAUCAGUAGCUGGUCUGAGAGGACGAUCAGCCACACUGGGACUGAGACACGGCCCAGACUCCUACGGGAGGCAGCAGUGGGGAAUUUUGGACAAUGGGCGAAAGCCUGAUCCAGCAAUGCCGCGUGUGUGAAGAAGGCCUUCGGGUUGUAAAGCACUUUUGUCCGGAAAGAAAUGGCUCNUGGUUAAUACCUGGGGUCGAUGACGGUACCGGAAGAAUAAGGACCGGCUA